rnacentral:rRNA from 1 species
UACGUAGGGUGCAAGCGUUAAUCGGAAUUACUGGGCGUAAAGCGUGCGCAGGCGGCUAUGCAAGACAGCUGUGAAAUCCCCGGGCUCAACCUGGGAACUGCAUUUGUGACUGCAUGGCUAGAGUACGGCAGAGGGGGAUGGAAUUCCGCGUGUAGCAGUGAAAUGCGUAGAUAUGCGGAGGAACACCGAUGGCGAAGGCAAUCCCCUGGGCCUGUACUGACGCUCAUGCACGAAAGCGUGGGGAGCAAACAGG